CCAUCGUGCCGUGGCGAUUUGUGAACCGGAUUGCGGGCCACGUUAAACAAACCGCUAAAGAGGUCGAGGAGAGCGCGCC
rnacentral:ncRNA from 2 species